rnacentral:misc_RNA from 1 species
CUAAGGAGUUUUUGUGAGUGGAAUGUUGGCGUCCUGCCUGUGAUGGGUGGGGUUCGGGGGCAUGCUGUUGGGUUGUGGGGUAUCACGCGUGUGCGGUGCUGUGUUGCGUGUGUGCGUGGUGUGGUGUUCGUGUGGUGGUUGAGAACUGUAUAGUGGAUGCGAGUAUCUUUAUUGUUGUAUGUGUUUGUGUGACGUGGUGUUGUGCAAAG